GUCCACGCCCUAAACGAUGUCAACUAGUUGUUCGGUGAGGAGACUCAUUGAGUAACGCAGCUAACGCGUGAAGUUGACCGCCUGGGGAGUACGGCCGCAAGGUUAAAACUACAAAGGAAUUGACGGGGACCCCGGCACAAGCGGUGGAUGAUGUGGAUUAAUUCGAUGCAACGCGAAAAACCUUAACCUACCCUUGACAUGCCAGGAACUUGCCAGAGAUGGCUUGGUGCCCGAAAGGGAGUCUGGACACAGGUGCUGCAUGGCUGUCGU
rnacentral:rRNA from 1 species